CCGGCCGCGAGGCCGCAAGCACUGGGUGGACCGUCGGACGGAUCGCGGGACCGAACGACGGACGCCCGGGGCCGGCGUGGGGCUGGUCGGCUGCCCGGGGCGAGGGCGGGAGACUUCCUGCUCAGAACCAGUCCGACCAGCUUGGCGCUGGGACGCCUCCCCGCGCUGUGCCGCGGCCCGGGGUGCCGAGGAGCUGGGCUGGGGGCGGGGACCCCUGCCGGGAACCCGACUUAGCCCGGAGACGCUCAAGAGCAAGAAGCCGAGCGGAAAAGUUAGCGCAGGUUGUGGAAAUCAUAUGAGUUCCCUGCUAGUGACAUUGGAGUGCACAGAUGAAUAUCGACAAGGCUCCAGGGAGUUCUGAACAGAGGCCAAGGCAGGCCCUGGAGCUGUAUGCUGCUUACAGGAAAAGAGAAAGAGGGGACCCCAAUAGUCUAGGUCCCUGGAUCCUCUGACCCGGGGCCUGACACUGUCAGGGAAGCUGCUGUCUCCCUAGGGACCUACUGAAUGUUCUUCCCAUGGCUGGUCAGUGCUGACACCUCAACACAGGAAGAGAAAUACUCCUAUGAAGUCAUCUGAAGCCUGGUCAUGCCAGGGACACUUCACGAAGGCAGGAACAGUCCUGUUUCUAAAAGCCCAAAAUCUAACAGCCUCUCUACAGAUAUAAAAGCCCAAAGACAUGGAAAGUUUGUAUGCAGACAACCCUAGAAGUAAGGAAAAGUGAAUGACAUAUAUGUCAAUGCCCAGAAAGUUCCUUGAGAUCAGACACUGUACAUUUAUGGGAUACUUUCUAAGUGCCAGCUACUGUACUUGGUGCUGGAUCAGUGCAUCCAUUUCCCGGGGCUCCCGUGAUGAAGUGCCACAAACUGGAUGGCUUUAAACAACAGAAGUUUACUCUCUCACAGUUCUGAAGGUUAGAAGUCUGCCAUGAAGAUGUGAGCACAGCCAGCCUCUCUCCAAAGGCUCCAGAGGAGAAUCCUUCCUUGCUUCUUCCCAGAGCUCCUUGGCAUACAGCUGCAUUACUCCAAGAUUUGCCUCUCUUGUCACACAGCAUUCUGCCUGUGUCUCUUGUUUGUGUUCAAGUAUCCCUCCACCCUAAUUUAGUAUGACCUCAUUUUAGCUUGAUUAUGCCUGCAAAUACCCUAUUUCCAAAUGAGGUCACAUUCACAGGUACCAGAAGUUAUGAAUUGAACACAUCUUUUUUGGGAUGUGUUCUACCCAUUAUAAUUCAUUCUACCCACUAUAAUCACAAGUGGCUUUGACAUUCAGUGACACAAAGAUGAUAAGGACUCGGUUCCUGACCUCAGGACAUUCUCAGUCUAUCAGUGAAGACAAACACAUGCUGGUGAACACACACACAUACACAAGCACACAUAUACCCCGAGCCUCAUUCAAGUCAGACUGUGAUUAAAAAUGGAAAUUGUGUCAUCAGGAGGGAUUGGGGAAGUCUUCACACAAGAAAGAACAUCUAAGUUGGGCCUUGAAGGACUUGAGGUUGGCCCGCAGAUCCAUGGACACCUUGUGCUUGGAGCCCAGCAGGGCCCGGAGCAUGGCGUCAGCCGAGACACGGACUCGACGCAGGGGCGGGCGCUUGAACUUCCCACGGAGGUCCAUCACCUUCAGCUUCAGGUCCUUAAUCUGUAGGCCAGAGACCAGCACUGGUCCCAGGACCACCACUGUGCAACCUAGGACAAGUCUUUGGCCUCUCUGAUCCUGAGUGUUCUCCUCUGCAAGGUGCAGAUAAUAGCCCCUACUUCAUCCACAGGCCUAUAAGGAGGAUCAAAGGCUAUAACGAACAUGAAAGCACUUCACAAAGGUAAGACGUUAUUAACAGGCAUAUGAUUAUUUGUGUGGGUGGAUAAAGAGAGCAGCUUCUGUUAGGCUGAUGAGCCCACAUGGCAGGUAGGGAGGAAGUUUGUACUUUUCAUGUGUGAUUAUCCACUCUACCCAUCUCCAGCCCUAUGGGGCUAGGGCAGACAAACCAAAGUUUCCUGCUUAAGUGGCCCCUUCCUAGGCCCUGUGGAAGGAGGGGACCUCCCAUGGCUGCUGCAUCCGUGCCCAUGCCCCUGCCCAACCCAUUAUGGCCAUGCCCCUUCCCUUCCUUAGACUCACCUCCCUGGUGUUGUGGAGGCAUUUGGCCUCAAUGUCGUAUCGCUCCUCAUCCACCACCUCCACCUUGGCGUGCAGCUCCCGGCACAGGUCCUGGGGGCCGCAGAUGGAUCAUGCAGGUGUGAAGAAGAGGGGAACAGAGACAUCAGUUUCCAGCCCUUGACCCUCUCCCCAGCCCCUUUGCAAGACCUGGGAUCCAGAGAGGAGCUGACAGUCUCCUCCACUCUGAGGCUCAUGACGGGCAAUAGCUCAAAGGCUUUGCACAGGAUCAGCUCUGCAUGGAAUAGGAUGGUCCCCCCAGGACUGGACCAGCUCUCAGAGUGGGUGAGGAAGAGCUUGUGCUCAGCAAGGAUGCAGAGUCACACCCAACCCUGCUGCAAUACCAGUCCUUCCAGUGACAUGGUACACUGGCACAGCAACUCCCUGGACACUAGGAAGCCCCACAUCCAGAAUCUUCACCUGACGUUUCCAUCUCCUGGGAAUUUGUUCAGCCACUAAAUACCCUACACCCCCUGGACUCCCACCAGGCCUUAACACAGGCUCUUCCCUCUCCUCAGAUGCCAACCCCACCUUCCCACUUUUACCAGUCGUUAGAGUUAACCAAGACAGAGAUACCCCAAAUAUCACUUACCUCGCUUCAGGCAUCCAUCACAGGAAGGACGGGGAAAGAGCAGAACACAGAGUGAGUAUGAACAAUGAGGAUUACAUGUGCAGUCGCAGAACCUCACAGACCAGCUUGGGGGAGGAGGGGGCCAGUGACAACAGUGAGCCAGAAAGUCAUCAGGCAUCAGGCAAGGGGAGCGGUUUGAGGUUCCGGCAGAAUAAAAUAAAAAUUCAACAGCCCUUUGAACUACGGGGCAUUCUUAUUGGGAGGUACUGGGCAUCGUAAGUUGGGGACAAGUGGUGGAAGGGGAGGGAAGCCUUAGCGUAGGGUUCCAGCAACGUGAAAGCAUCCAUCCACGGGUGCGUGGGUAAAUUCCCAAAGCUUUGUUCACCUACUGCACCAGUGUUAAGUGGUGGCCUGGUACAUGCAAUUCAUGUGAUAGAUCAAGACAGGAAAUCUCUGAGGCACAAGCCAAAAAGGCACUCCCAGGGCAACCUGGGAGUGAGUUCUGCUCAAUGGCUGGGAGGACACAGGCAGCACAGGGGAAACCAUCAAGUGCUGCCCCUGUUUGAGGACCUGGUCUCUUAGGGAAAAGCUUUGGGGGUUGAAAACAUGGUGCCUCCACUGCGGGGCUGAAGUCUGUGGCAAAGGGACUUGCCUUCCUGGGGCCCCAGAUGGCAGUGAGACUACUUACACUUCCGGCAUGGUGGCAGUGAGACAGCACCUAGGGGGCACAGAGGAAUCAUUCAUAAGGGAAAGUGGAAACCCCUGCCCCUGCCCAGCUGGGCCUUGGGAGCCCAGCCUAGGAGACAGAGUCAGAACACAAAAGGAAGAAAUCAGACACAUUGGAUUCCAGCAGGUCAAGAUGGGACAGGGUUGCAGGGCAGGGGUCAGCUAACUACAGCCCAUAAGCCUGACCUGGCUCCCAGCCUGUUUUUGCUUAAAGAAUUGUAAGCUUUUUUUUUUUUUUUUUUUUUAAGAAUUUGCAACAGAAACCUUAUGUGAGCUACAAAGCUAUCUGGCCCUUUCCAGAUAAAGCUUGCCAAUCCCAGUGGAGAACAGAAUGGAGUCCAUAGGAAAUAUGUUUGGAAAGUGAGAGCAGCUGGGCGCAGUGGCUCAUGCCUGUAAUCCCAGCACUUUGGGAGGCCAAGGCGGGCAGUUCAUGAGGUAAGGAGUUCAAGACCAGCCUGGCCAAUAUGGUCAAACCCCGUCUCUACUAAUGAUACAAAAAUUAGCCAGCAUGGUGGUGCACGCCUAUAGUCCCAGCUACUCAGGAGGCUGAGGCAGAAGAAUUGCUUGAACCCAGGAGGCGGAGGUUACAGUGAGCCGAGAUCGCACCACUGCACUCCAGCCUGGGUAACAGAAUGAGUCUCCUUCUCAAAAAAAAAAAAAAAAAAAUAAGUGAGAGUGUAGCUCACUCAUGAGGGCCUUGAAGGACAGGCUGAGUUUAGACUUUAUCCUGUGGAAUAAGGGUGGUCAUUGAAGGGCUCAGAGAGAGGAAGGCCUAGAAAGUGAAUGAGCAGAGUGGAUGCUGGAAAACGGGUAGCUGCCACAUGGCACAACUCCAUCCACAGAUGGCAAUGCAACUGGCACCUCCAGGGUGGGGCAGUGGGAGGCCUUGAGUGGGAGAGAAUAAGCCGCAAGGCAGGGCAAAUCCCGUGUUCACCCUAGUCUGUCUUUCCCCUCUCUGGGUUGGUUUUCCUCUCUGCAAAAUUAGGGGUUAAAUCAGUGAGUUUCCUCUUGAUGUUUAUUAUUAAUAAUAAGUAAUUAAAAUAAUAUUUAAUUAAUAUUAUUUGGUUGAAUCCUUUGUC
rnacentral:lncRNA from 1 species